rnacentral:misc_RNA from 1 species
CCUGAAUAGCUCUAUUUUCUCUUGAUUGGGUUUAUACCUUAGUUUCCAAGGAAUCAAUAGAUUAUAUGUACCAUAGCACCUCUCUGUUUACACGUUAUCUCUCUCUCUCUCUCUCUCGGAUUUUCGAGAUGAGAGAUCAGCGCAAACUGAAGUAAGCCCUCGAUUUUGCAAAAUUUUAUUUUUCUGUUUCUUCUGGGACGCGUGGCGGAUUGAC